CGCACGUACGGCAGCGCGUCGACGUCGGGGCGCGGCGGCGGCGAAACUAGAGCCGAGGGACCUCCUUUCUGGGGUCCACGGCUGCGUCGCCUGGGUCGCUGUCCUUCCGUCCCGUCAGGGGGCUGAUGCGGAGGGCGGUCUGAGCGGAGUCAGUUCUGGAGGGCUCUGGAGGCGGCGCGGAGCACGCACGGCGCCCCGGAACCGCUGAUAGGAGCCCGGGAGCCCGAAUGUGUGAACGCGCAAGGCCGCCGCUCUGGGGGAGCGCCCCCUGCUCCGCGUGCGGCCCGGUGUGCUUUCCUCUGGGAGAGUGACAGCCGGCCACCCCCAGGUCCGAGCUCAGCCCCGGGCCGCCGAGAACCGUGCACUGUGAGCUCGCGCCCAGUGAGCGGCACCGUGGAGCGGCACUCGGAGGCCGUCCUCGGGAGCGCAGGGCCAGUGGGCACAGCCCGAGGACCGCGGUGGGGAGGGUCUUCGCCCUCCGGAGCCCAGGGCCAGUGGGCACAGCCCGAGGACCGCGGUGGGGAGGGUUAUCACUUGCAGCGAGUACGUAGAGCACUGGGACAACUCCCAAAUCGGUGUCUCCCUGAUUGCUCGGGCCAGGGGAUUUUAUUAGGGAGAUUUAUGCUAACCUCUAAGGAAAAGACUUUGCUUGUUGAGUCGGGCUGUUGCAGAGCAUGCCCAGUCUCAAUCCAUACUUGCUUAGGUCUUGAAAUGUGGCAGGUGGGAAUGCUCCUCAGGUGAAGAAUUAAGGAUUAUGAUGAGCAAAGUUCACUGCAUUACCCAGAAGGACUCACAUUUUGGCUGAGUUUAAACUGACACCUUGUGGUCUAAUCUGGAGGGGGUUUUUGUUUCAUUUUGUUUGACCUGGAAUUGAACCAAUAUACUACCACUGAUGCUACAUGCCCCAGUCUUUUUCAUUUUGAGACAGAGUCUUCCUAAGUUGCUGAAGUUGACCUCCAACUUGGCAGACUUCCUGCAUCAACCUCCUAAGCCACCUAACCAAGCCUGAGAAUCCUAUCUGAAACAACUUGAACGGAUGUCAGCAGUUAUUUAAAGAGGUGACAGCUUCCCCCAAGCAUAAGCACCUUGCCCCUAAAAGUUCCUGUCUAGUAGCUGUCACAAAAAGGUUCAAAAACUGCCAGUGUCAUCCAAGGUCACCAGCACCUGGUGAAAAUCUCAAAAGUCUCAAAGGUUUUUCGUUUUUUCUGGGAGUUUCCAGUAACAGGAUAUAUGGCAGAAUCAAAAUUGAAAACUCACUUGUCAUGUGAUUUAUCAGUGAAGAGCACAGACCAAAUGUGGAAUUAAGUGAAAGACAGCUGAGCCAUGCAGUCUCAGACACACCUGUUCACUCCAGCCCACUCAGACUUUGUUCACAGGGUUGAUUUUUCUGUUGUUUGAGUUAGUUUCCAGGGGCUUUUGUAACAAAGAACCACAAAUGGAGACACAUUCUCUCACAGUUCUGAAGGCUCUGAAGUAGAACCUACUCUCUCCCAGCUUCUGCUGCUUACAGCAGUCCUCAACACUCCUUGGCUUGUCUCGGCUUCAUUACAGCCUCUGACUGUGGUCACAGCAUUCUCUCUCGUUUCUCAAAGUAUCUUUGUUUAAUAAAGAUAGCAUUCAUAUUUGAUAUUAGGACCAACCCUAAUCCAGUGUGACAUCACUGUAACUUGAUUUCAUCUGCCAAGGCCCUUGUGUCCACAUAAGGUUAGGACUUCAGCAUAUCCCUUGGAAGGGCCUGAUUCAACCCCAACGCUGUUCAAAAAUGUUUAGCCUGGUUGGGGCAGCCAACUGGCCAACUGUUACACAUCUCACUGUGUGCAGGGACCUCAGCCAAGCCCUGAGGACACAGGUAAUCAGGCCCUGCUCAUCAGGAGGCUCCAGCUGCCAGGGGA
rnacentral:lncRNA from 1 species